AUGCGCGAGAUUCUGGACAAAUACCAUGACCCCUACACUGGUCGAUGGUCUGGAUUCCUGGGAAGUAAAAACUUUCCAAGCCAAGCAGACUGGGAGCAGUGCUUGAGCAACUGCAGCGGGUUCCUCUUCUAUGGAAUGGAGAACUUGCUAUCUCACGUGCUCAUAGACAGUCUGAUCACCAUGAACCUGCAAGAUCUGCUAAGAACUGGAAAGCCAAGCGGGAAAGCUGUCUACCAUCUCCUGAAGACAGGCUUAGCUGAAGCCGGCGGGAAGGAGCCUGGACGACAGGCUUCAGAGCAGGGCAGUGGGAAGCACCAGGCAGCCGCCGCGAGGGUCUUCCGAGGUGAACAAAGCCUGGCUACUGUUUCCCUGUUUACAGGACACUCUCCUAGAACUUCUAGAGAAAAAGUCUCAGACCAUAGUGCCUCAGCGCUCGCCAACAGAGUCGUGUUUAUACCGCCCUGGACAAAUUUCAACUUUGUGCUUUUCGGACUCCCAAACCUCUUCAUUGUCUGAGCCUGCCUUGACCCCAUGGCUGGAAGCCCAGGCCCCGGAUCGAUGUCUGCAGUCCCACCAGCUUCCUUUGAAAAGGGGUCUGUGUGCCCCUCAUGAAAUGGGACUUGGUUGCCCCAUCUUCUGCUCUCCUUUCUCGGAACCACCACUGGCCAGCUUCCCCUCUGACCCAGCUGCCGUGGGGUCUGGCUCCAGAGCCGGAGCUCCUCUCCUCUUCCUCCUCCUGCUGAUGCAGUCACAGAGCCCCAGAUCUGCCCCUGGCACCUGCCAGGCCAUUUCCUGCUGCAGCCUCAGCAGCAAUGCUUAGUCUGGGGACCCAGGGAGCACCCCGGGGCCGGGGAUCAAACAUCAGGCUUUGUCUGGCUUUGUCAAACAUCAGCUGGUCAGGAUGGGCAGGGGCAGGGCAAGCUAGGAGGGAGAGCUGCAGAGUAAAGAAGUCCCCACGAGGAAAACAGAGAGGUGGGACACAAGGCCCUGGGACCUGGGAGUUCAGGACAGAGGCCCUGUCUGCUAGGCACAGAAGGGGGUGGCCACGAUCUCUUGCCCCCUGAACCUUUCCCAGACCGAGUAUCCCAAGUUUCUGCAGCUCAUCCACCCCCCGCCACACACACACAUUCUGAUGCUUUUCAUUCAGUGGAGUCAGGAAGAAGUCUGGGUUUAUGAGCAUUACUAUAAAUAAAGCCUAGUUGGGUC
rnacentral:lncRNA from 1 species